rnacentral:sRNA from 1 species
AUGUACCACGCGAACACUGCGGUUCUGCGCGUGCCGUCCGCGCCCACCUGACAGCGGCUCGCUACCUUGUGUUAGCC